rnacentral:rRNA from 1 species
CAGUAGCCACGGGAAUACGAAGGGGGCUAGCGUUGCUCGGAAUCACUGGGCGUAAAGGGUGCGUAGGCGGGUCUUUAAGUCAGGGGUGAAAUCCUGGAGCUCAACUCCAGAACUGCCUUUGAUACUGAAGAUCUUGAGUUCGGGAGAGGUGAGUGGAACUGCGAGUGUAGAGGUGAAAUUCGUAGAUAUUCGGAAGAACACCAGUGGCGAAGGCGACUACCUGGUCUGGCAUUGACGCUCAUGUGCGAAAGCGUGGGGAGCAAACAGGAUUAGAUACCCCCGUAGUCCCUGUCUCUUAUAU